NNAAUACUCCCUCCGUCCGGAAAUACUUGUCAUCAAAAUGGAUAAAAGGAAAUGUAUCUAGACGUAUUUUAGUUUUAGAUACAUCUCUUUUUAUCCAUUUUGAUGACAAGUAUUUUCGGACGGAGGGAGUAGAAA
rnacentral:pre_miRNA from 1 species